rnacentral:rRNA from 1 species
UUUGUUGAAGUUUUCGGAUGGAAACGUUGUUAGCUUAGUGGCGGACGGGUGAGUAACACGUGAGCAACCUGCCUUUCAGAGGGGGAUAACAGUUGGAAACGACUGCUAAUACCGCAUAACGUUGCGAGAGGACAUCCUUUUGCAACCAAAGGAGCAAUCCGCUGAAAGAUGGGCUCGCGUUGGAUUAGAUAGUUGGUGGGGUAACGGCCUACCAAGUCGACGAUCCAUAGCCGGACUGAGAGGGUGAUCGGCCACACUGGGACUGAGACACGGCCCAGACUCC